GGGGAAUAUUGCACAAUGGGGGAAACCCUGAUGCAGCGACGCCGCGUGAGUGAAGAAGUAUUUCGGUAUGUAAAGCUCUAUCAGCAGGGAAGAAAUAAGACGGUACCUGACUAAGAAGCCCCGGCUAACUACGUGCCAGCAGCCGCGGUAAUACGUAGGGGGCAAGCGUUAUCCGGAAUUACUGGGUGUAAAGGGUGCGUAGGUGGCAUGAUAAGUCAGAAGUGAAAGCCCGGGGCUUAACCCCGGGACUGCUUUUGAAACUGUAAUGCUAGAGUGCAGGAGAGGUAAGCGGAAUUCCUAGUGUAGCGGUGAAAUGCGUAGAUAUUAGGAGGAACACCAGUGGCGAAGGCGGCUUACUGGACUGUCACUGACACUGAGGCACGAAAGCGUGGGGAGCAAAC
rnacentral:rRNA from 1 species